AGAGUUUGAUCAUGGCUCAGGAUAAACGCUGGCGGCGCACAUAAGACAUGCAAGUCGAACGAACUUAACUCAUUCUUUUAGUUUGAGAGCGGUUAGUGGCGGACUGGUGAGUAACACGUAAGCAACCUGCCUAUUAGAGGGGAAUAACAGUGAGAAAUCAUUGCUAAUACCGCAUAUGCUAACAGUAUCGCAUGAUACAGUUAGGAAAGGAGUAAUCCGCUAAUAGAUGGGCUUGCGUCUGAUUAGCUAGUUGGUGGGGUAACGGCCUACCAAGGCGACGAUCAGUAGCCGGACUGAGAGGUUGAACGGCCACAUUGGGACUGAGAUACGGCCCAGACUCCUACGGGAGGCAGCAGUCGGGAAUAUUGCGCAAUGGAGGAAACUCUGACGCAGUGACGCCGCGUAUAGGAAGAAGGUUUUCGGAUUGUAAACUAUUGUCGUUAGGGAAGAUACAAGACAGUACCUAAGGAGGAAGCCCCGGCUAACUAUGUGCCAGCAGCCGCGGUAAUACAUAGGGGGCAAGCGUUAUCCGGAAUUAUUGGGUGUAAAGGGUGCGUAGACGGAGGAGCAAGUUGGUUGUGAAAUCCCUCGGCUUAACUGAGGAACUGCAACCAAAACUACUUCCCUUGAGUGUCGGAGAGGAAAGUGGAAUUCCUAGUGUAGCGGUGAAAUGCGUAGAUAUUAGGAGGAACACCAGUGGCGAAGGCGACUUUCUGGACGAUAACUGACGUUGAGGCACGAAAGUGUGGGGAGCAAACAGGAUUAGAUACCCUGGUAGUCCACACUGUAACGAUGGAUAC
rnacentral:rRNA from 1 species